CCCGCACAAGCGGAGGAACAUGUGGUUAAUUCGAUGAUACGCGAGGAACCUUACCUGGGCUUAAAUGGGGAGUGACAGCUGUCGAAAGAUGGUUUUCUUCGGACACUCUUCAAGGUGCUGCAUGGUUGUCGUCAGCUCGUGCCGUGAGGUGUCGGGUUAAGUCCCAUAACGAGCGCAACCCUUACCGUUAGUUACCAUCAGGUUAAGCUGGGGACUCUAGCGGGACUGCCACCGUAAGGUGAGAGGAAGUGGGGAUGACGUCAAAUCAGCACGGCCCUUAUGUCCAGGGCUACACACGUGUUACAAUGGCCGGUACAAAGGGCAGCUACUUCGCGAGAAGAUGCUAAAUCUCGAAAGCCGGUCUCAGUUCGGAUCGAAGUCUGCAACCCGACUUCGUGAAGCUGGAUUCGCUAGUAAUCGCGCAUCAGCCAUGGCGCGGUGAAUACGUUCCCGGGCCUU
rnacentral:rRNA from 1 species